UGGGGAAUAUUGCACAAUGGGCGCAAGCCUGAUGCAGCCAUGCCGCGUGUAUGAAGAAGGCCUUCGGGUUGUAAAGUACUUUCAGCGAGGAGGAAGGCGUUGUGGUUAAUAACCACAGCGAUUGACGUUACUCGCAGAAGAAGCACCGGCUAACUCCGUGCCAGCAGCCGCGGUAAUACGGAGGGUGCAAGCGUUAAUCGGAAUUACUGGCGUAAGCGUAACGACGCACGGCAGGCUCGUGCUCAAAGUCGGAUGUGAAAUCCCCGGGCUCAACCUGGGAAC
rnacentral:rRNA from 1 species